rnacentral:rRNA from 1 species
GACGAACGCUGGCGGCGUGCUUAACACAUGCAAGUCGAACGGAAAGGCCCUGCUUUUGUGGGGUGCUCGAGUGGCGAACGGGUGAGUAACACGUGAGUAACCUGCCCUUGACUUUGGGAUAACUUCAGGAAACUGGGGCUAAUACCGGAUAGGAGCUCCUGCUGCAUGGUGGGGGUUGGAAAGUUUCGGCGGUUGGGAAUGGACUCGCGGCUUAUCAGCUUGUUGGUGGGGUAGUGGCUUACCAAGGCUUUGACGGGUAGCCGGCCUGAGAGGGUGACCGGCCACAUUGGGACUGAGAUACGGCCCAGACUCCUACGGUAGGCAGUAGUGGGGAAUAUUGCACAAUGGGCGGAAGCCUGAUGCAGCAACGCCGCGUGCGGGAUGACGGCCUUCGGGUUGUAAACCGCUUUCGCCUGUGACGAAGCGUGAGUGACGGUAAUGGGUAAAGAAGCACCGGCUAACUACGUG